CAUAGGUUUGGUCCUGGCCUUUCUGUUAACUUUCAAUAGACUUACACAUGCAAGCAUCCGCACCCCGGUGAGUAGCGCCCUCCGAAUCAGCAGGACUAAGAGGAGCAGGUAUCAAGCACACACCCUGUAGCUCAUAACGCCUUGCUUAACCACACCCCCACGGGAAACAGCAGUGACAAAAUUUAAGCCAUGAACGAAAGUUCGACUAAGCCAUAUUAACUAGGGUUGGUAAAUCUCGUGCCAGCCACCGCGGUCAUACGACUAACCCAAGCUAACAGGAACACGGCGUAAAACGUGUUAAAGUACUACACCAAAUAGAGUUAAAUCCUAAUUAAGCUGUAAAAAGCCAUAAUUAUAACAAAAAUAAGUGACGAAAGUAACUCUACGACAACUGACACACUAUAGCUAAGACCCAAACUGGGAUUAGAUACCCCACUAUGCUUAGCCCUAAACAUAAAUAAUUGCAAAAACAAGAUUAUUCGCCAGAGUACUACCGGCAACGGCCCAAAACUCAAAGGACUGGCGGUGCUUUACACCCUUCUAGAGGAGCCUGUUCUAUAAUCGAUAAACCCCGAUAAACCUCACCAAUCCUUGCUAAUACAGUCUGUAUACCGCCAUCUUCAGCAAACCCUGAAAAGGAACAAAAGUAAGCUCAAUCAUAACACAUAAAAACGUUAGGUCAAGGUGUAACCUAUGGAAUGGGAAGAAAUGGGCUACAUUUUCUAUCCAAGAAAACUUAAUACGAAAGCCAUUAUGAAACUAACAGCCAAAGGAGGAUUUAGUAGUAAACUAAGAAUAGAGUGCUUAGUUGAACCAGGCCAUGAAGCACGCACACACCGCCCGUCACCCUCCUCAAGUAAAUAUAUGCACCCAAACCUAUUUACAUGCACCAAUUACACGAGAGGAGGUAAGUCGUAACAAGGUAAGCAUACUGGAAAGUGUGCUUGGACAAAC
rnacentral:ncRNA from 1 species